CAAGAGCUCUAUUUGCCUCUUCCAUUCUAUGAGUCGCUUCCUUUUUGCGUAUGGCACCCCCACUCCCUUUUGCAGCAUCUACUAAUUCGGAACUUAAUUUGA
rnacentral:rRNA from 1 species